rnacentral:rRNA from 1 species
CCUACGGGAGGCAGCAGUAAGGAAUAUUGGUCAAUGGACGAAAGUCUGAACCAGCCAUGCCGCGUGAAGGAUUAAGGCCCUCUGGGUUGUAAACUUCUUUUAUCUGGGACGAAAAAAGGGUAUUCUUACUCACUUGACGGUACCAGAGGAAUAAGCACCGGCUAACUCCGUGCCAGCAGCCGCGGUAAUACGGAGGGUGCAAGCGUUAUCCGGAUUUACUGGGUUUAAAGGGUGCGUAGGUGGGCUUGUAAGUCAGUGGUGAAAUCUCCGGGCUUAACCCGGAAACUGCCAUUGAUACUAUAGGUCUUGAAUUAUCUGGAGGUAAGCGGAAUAUGUCAUGUAGCGGUGAAAUGCUUAGAUAUGACAUAGAACACCAAUUGCGAAGGCAGCUUACUACGGAUAUAUUGACACUGAGGCACGAAAGCGUAGGGGAUCAAACAGGAUUAGAUACCCUGGUAGUCCACGCCCUAAACGAUGGAUACUCGACAUCAGCGAUACACUGUUGGUGUCUGAGCGAAAGCAUUAGUAUCCCACCUGGGAAGUACGAUCGCAAGAUUGAAACUUAAUGAAUUGACGG